rnacentral:rRNA from 1 species
UACAGAGGGUGCGAGCGUUGUUCGGAAUUACUGGGCGUAAAGCGCGCGCAGGCGGCUCUUUAAGUCUUGUGGUCAAAUGCCGGGGCUCAACCCCGAGUGCGCCAGAGAUACUGGGGAGCUAGAGACAGGUAGAGGCAAGCGGAAUUCCGGGUGUAGCGGUGGAAUGCGUAGAGAUCCGGAAGAACACCGGAGGCGAAGGCGGCUUGCUGGGCCUGGUCUGACGCUGAGGCGCGAAAGCGUGGGGAGCAAACAGG